rnacentral:rRNA from 1 species
AUGCCAUCUACGGACUACGGCCGCCAACCUGAUGAUGGCUUCGACCGGUACGACAUCUCACUGAACGCCACCGCGAACUCGACGCUUCCGCCGAUCAUCAAUGGCGUGGAGGUCUUCUUGCUCCUCCCUACCACCGGCGUAGCCACGGUCGUUCAGGAUGCUUCUGCCAUCACGGCGGUCAGAGACAAGUACCGGGUGAAAAAAAACUGGAUGGGAGAUCCGUGCAUGCCGAGGAAAUUCGCGUGGGAUGGAUUGAGUUGCAACUACGCUAUUUCUGGACCACCGACUGUCAAAAGCUUGAAUCUAUCUUCUAUGGGUCUGAGUGGCAACAUCUCCUCUUCCUUUGGGGAUCUAAAAGGUUUACAAUACUUGGAUUUGUCUCGCAACAAUCUCACCGGCUCCAUUCCUGACACCCUUUCACAAUUGUCAUCGCUUACACUUCUUGAUUUGACAGGAAACCGGCUUACUGGAGAAAUUCCUUCCAUGCUUCUGAAAAGAAGCCAAGAUGGCUUCCUAACUCUAAGAUAUAAUAACAAUCCGGAACUCUGCAGCAAUGGCAAUUCUUGUGUGCCUCCAAAGAAGAAGAGCAAUUCAAUGGUUCCUGUCUAUGUUGCUAUUCCAAUAGUUGUAGUACUCGUGAUUUUGUUGCUUUUAGUGCUGCUCAUUUGCAUGCGAAGGAGAAGGCAAGGAACAGCAAGCAACAGCAUCAAGCCGCAGAAUGAGACGCGCUUUACCCCGCCGCACUCUUGGGAUAGAAACAGAGACAGCUCACUGCAACUGAACAAUCAGCGGUUCACGUACGAGGAAAUAAUGGUCAUAACGAACAACUUCCAGCGAGUGAUCGGCCAAGGAGGGUUUGGUAAAGUCUAUGAUGGAUUCUUGGAGAAUGGCACCCAGGUGGCUGUCAAGCUUCGGUCUGAGUCAUCAGCUCAAGGUGUACAAGAGUUCCUGGUCGAGGCUCAGACAUUGGCUAAGAUUCAUCACAAAAAUCUUGUAACCAUGAUUGGCUACUGCAACGAUAGAGAGCACCUAGCCCUCGUGUACGAGUACAUGUCCGAAGGAGCCCUACAUGAACAUCUGAGAGGCAGACACUACGACACAACAUUAACCUGGGCACAGAGACUUCGUAUUGCACAGGAAUCCGCACAAGGGCUUGAGUAUCUACACAAGGGCUGCAAUCCACCCCUCAUCCAUAGGGACGUGAAGACAUCAAACAUCUUGCUAAAUGCGAACCUUGAGGCCAAGAUUGCCGAUUUCGGCCUACUCAAGGCAUUCAACUACGAUGAUGAUACCCAUGUGUCCACAGCCAGGUUGGUUGGCACGCACGGUUACAUUGCCCCUGAGUACCUAACAACAUUGCAGGUGACCAAUAAGACUGAUGUGUAUAGUUUUGGAGUAGUGUUGUUGGAAAUAGUCACGGGCCAACCUCGCAUCUUGAAUAAUCCGGAACCUUCAAGCAUUACCAAGUGGGUCCAGGAACGGCUUUCCCAGGGAAAAUAG